GGGGGAUAUUGCACAAUGGAGGGAACUCUGAUGCGGCAACGCCGCGUGAGGGAUGAAGGUUUUCGGAUUGUAAACUUCUUUAGUCAGGGACGAAAAAAAUGACGGUACCUGAAGAAUAAGCCACGGCUAACUACGUGCCAGCAGCCGCGGUAAUACGUAGGUGGCAAGCGUUGUCCGGAAUUACUGGGUGUAAAGGGCGUGUAGGCGGGAAUGUAAGUCAGAUGUGAAAUCCCAGGGCUUAACCCUGGAGCUGCAUCUGAAACUAUGUUUCUUGAGUGCCGGAGAGGAAAGCGGAAUUCCUAGUGUAGCGGUGCAAUGCGUAGAUAUUAGGAGGAACACCAGUGGCGAAGGCGGCUUUCUGGACGGUAACUGACGCUGAGGCGCGAAAGCGUGGGGAGCAAAC
rnacentral:rRNA from 1 species